rnacentral:rRNA from 1 species
UUCUGUGCUCAUACCAUCCUGAAUCCACCUUACUUCACUUGAUCUGAGAAGAAAUAUAAAGCAGGGUCUGGUUAAUACUUGGGUGAAAGAAUGCCUAGAAAUACUAAGU